GACGAACGCUGGCGGCGUGCUUAACACAUGCAAGUCGAACGGAAAGGCCCUGCUUUUGUGGGGUGCUCGAGUGGCGAAAGGGUGAGUAACACGUGAGUAACCUGCCCUUUACUUUGGGAUAACUUCAGUAAACUGGGGCUAAUACCGGAUAUGAGCUCCUGCUGCAUGGUUGGUUUGGAAAGUUUCGGCGGUUGGGGAUGGACUCGCGGCUUAUCAGCUUGUUGGUGGGGUAGUGGCUUACAAAGGCUUUGACGGGUAGCCGGCCUGAGAGGGUGACCGGGCACAUUGGGACUGAGAUACGGCCAAGACUGCUACGGGAGGCAGCAGUGGGGAAUAUUGCAAAAUGGGCGGAAGCAUGAUGCAGCAACUCCGCGUGCGGGAUGACGGCCUUCGGGUUGGAAACCGCUUUCGCCUGUGACGAAGCGUGAGUGACGGUAAUGGGUAAAGAAGCACCGGCUAACUACGUG
rnacentral:rRNA from 1 species